GACGAACGCUGGCGGCGUGCUUAACACAUGCAAGUCGAACGGAAAGGCCUCUUUCGGGGGGUACUCGAGUGGCGAACGGGUGAGUAACACGUGAGUAACCUGCCCUUGACUUUGGGUUAACUUCAGGAAACUGUGGCUAAUACCGGAUAGGAGCUCCUGCUGCAUGGUGGGGGUUGGAAAGUUUGGGCGGUUGGGGAUGGACUCGCGGCUUAUCAGCUUGUUGGUGGGGUAGUGGCUUACCAAGGCUUUGACGGGUAGCCGGCCUGAGAGGGUGACCGGCCACAUUGGGACUGAGAUACGGCCCAGACUCCUACGGGAGGCAGCAGUGGGGAAUAGUGCACAAUGGGUGGAAGCCUGAUGCAGCAACGCCGUGUGCGGGAUGACGGCCUUCGGGUUGUAAAACGCUUUCGCUCAUGACGAAGCUUUGUGUGACGGUAGUGGGUAAAGAAGCACCGGCUAACUACGUG
rnacentral:rRNA from 1 species